rnacentral:rRNA from 1 species
GAUGAACGCUAGCGGCAGGCCUAAUACAUGCAAGUCGAACGGGUGGUCGCAAGACCACUAGUGGCGCACGGGUGCGUAACGCGUAACCAACCUGCCCCGAUCUGGGGGAUAGCCCGCCGAAAGGCGGAUUAAUACCGCAUAUACCCGCAGCCUGGCAUCAGGCAACGGGGAAAGAUUUAUUGGAUCGGGAUGGGGUUGCGUGACAUUAGCUAGUUGGCGGGGUAAGGGCCCACCAAGGCGACGAUGUCUAGGGGACCUGAGAGGGUGAUCCCCCACACUGGCACUGAGAUACAGGCCAGACUCCUACGGGAGGCAGCAGUAGGGAAUAUUGGGCAAUGGGCGAGAGCCUGACCCAGCCAUGCCGCGUGCCGGAUGAAGGCCUUCUGGGUUGUAAACGGCUUUUCUCAGGGAAGAAAAAGACCUUGCGAGGUACACUGACGGUACCUGAGGAAUAAGCACCGGCUAACUCCGUG